rnacentral:rRNA from 1 species
CCUACGGGAGGCAGCAGUAGGGAAUAUUGCUCAAUGGGGGAAACCCUGAAGCAGCAACGCCGCGUGGAGGAUGAAGGUUUUCGGAUUGUAAACUCCUUUUGUAGAGAAGAUAAUUAACGUUUUUAACGGAUAAGCCCCCGCCAACUCCCUGCCAGCAGACGCCGUAAUACGGAGGGUGCAAGCGUUACUCGGAAUCCCUGGGCGUAAAGAGCGCGUAGGCGGGAUAGCAAGUCAGAUGUGAAAUCCUAUGGCUUAACCAUAGAACUGCAUUUGAAACUGUUAUUCUAGAGUAUGGGAGAGGUAGGUGGAAUUCUUGGUGUAGGGGUAAAAUCCGUAGAGAUCAAGAGGAAUACUCAUUGCGAAGGCGACCUGCUAGAACAUAACUGACGCUGAUGCGCGAAAGCGUGGGGAGCAAACAGGAUUAGAUACCCUAGUAGUC